rnacentral:rRNA from 1 species
UACAGAGGUCUCAAGCGUUGUUCGGAUUCAUUGGGCGUAAAGGGUGUGUAGGUGGCGCGCUAAGUCGGGUGUGAAAUUUCGGAGCUUAACUCCGAAACUGCAUCGAUACUGGCGUGCUUGAGGACUGGAGAGGAGACUGGAAUUCAUGGUGUAGCAGUGAAAUGCGUAGAGAUCAUGAGGAAGACCAGUGGCGAAGGCGGGUCUCUGGACAGUUCCUGACACUGAGACACGAAGGCCAGGGGAGCAAACGGG